rnacentral:misc_RNA from 1 species
GUUUGGUCCUGUUAUUUUUUUGUAUUCACAGUUGCAGAAGGGUAAUGCUGUUGUGUCUAUGGAUAAGUUCGACUUGGAAAUGAUUAUAUUGAGAGGGUACAGGGUGACGUAUUUAUGGAUUGUUUCUCAGAUGUUUUAGCAUUCACAAAGAAUCCUAUGGUGAAUCAUAAUUUAACUUCAUUGAAGCAUGUUGGAUCUGGUGCUGCACCUUUAAGGAAGGAAUUUGAUGGAUGAAUGCAUCCUUGCAGUGUUGUUGUUUACGGAUAUGGUAUAACAGAAACCUGUGAGAUUGUCUCAUCGGUGAGAAUCAAUAUGUAGGCUG